rnacentral:rRNA from 4 species
CCUGGCGGCUUUAGCGCGGUGGUCCCACCUGACCCCAUGCCGAACUCAGAAGUGAAACGCCGUAGCGCCGAUGGUAGUGUGGGGUC